rnacentral:rRNA from 1 species
UACGGAGGGAGCUAGUGUUGUUCGGAAUUACUGGGCGUAAAGCGCACGUAGGCGGCUUUGUAAGUUAGAGGUGAAAGCCCCGGGGGCUCAACUCCGGAACUGCCUUUAAGACUGCAUCGCUUGAAUCCAGGAGAGGUGAGUGGAAUUCCGAGUGUAGAGGUGAAAUUCGUAGAUAUUCGGAAGAAACACCAGUGGCGAAGGGCGGCUCACUGGACUGGUAUUGACG